rnacentral:rRNA from 1 species
AUUGAACGCUGGCGGAAUGCUUUACACAUGCAAGUCGAGCGGCAGCACGGGGGCAACCCUGGUGGCGAGCGGCGAACGGGUGAGUAAUACAUCGGAACAUGCCCAGUCGUGGGGGAUAACACUUCGAAAGAAGUGCUAAUACCGCAUACGUCCUGAGGGAGAAAGCGGGGGAUCGCAAGACCUCGCGCGAUUGGAGUGGCCGAUGUCAGAUUAGCUAGUUGGUGGGGUAAAGGCCUACCAAGGCAACGAUCUGUAGCUGGUCUGAGAGGAUGAUCAGCCACACUGGGACUGAGACACGGCCCAGACUCCUACGGGAGGCAGCAGUGGGGAAUUUUGGACAAUGGGGGCAACCCUGAUCCAGCCAUUCCGCGUGAGUGAAGAAGGCCUUCGGGUUGUAAAGCUCUUUCGGCAGGAACGAAACGGCGAGCUCUAACAUAGCUUGCUAAUGACGGUACCUGAAGAAGAAGCACCGGCUAACUACGCG